rnacentral:rRNA from 1 species
CAGCAGCCGCGGGAAUACGGAGGGUGCAAGCGUUAAUCGGAAUUACUGGGCGUAAAGCGCACGCAGGCGGUUUGUUAAGUCAGAUGUGAAAUCCCCGAGCUUAACUUGGGAACUGCAUUUGAAACUGGCAAGCUAGAGUCUUGUAGAGGGGGGUAGAAUUCCAGGUGUAGCGGUGAAAUGCGUAGAGAUCUGGAGGAAUACCGGUGGCGAAGGCGGCCCCCUGGACAAAGACUGACGCUCAGGCGCGAAAGCGUGGGGAGCAAACAGGAUUAGAUACCCCUGUAGUCCCUGUCUCUUAUAC